rnacentral:rRNA from 1 species
GGGGAAUAUUGGGCAAUGGGCGCAAGCCUGACCCAGCAACGCCGCGUGAAGGAAGACGGUUUUCGGAUUGUAAACUUCUUUUAUCAGGGACGAUGAAUGAGACGGUACCUGAUGAAUAAGCCACGGCUAACUACGUGCCAGCAGCCGCGGUAAUACGUAGGUGGCAAGCGUUGUCCGGAUUUACUGGGUGUAAAGGGCGUGUAGCCGGGGAGGCAAGUCAGAUGUGAAAACUAUGGGCUCAACCCAUAGCCUGCAUUUGAAACUGCUUUUCUUGAGUAUCGGAGAGGUAAUCGGAAUUCCUAGUGUAGCGGUGAAAUGCGUAGAUAUUAGGAGGAACACCAGUGGCGAAAGCGGAUUACUGGACGACAACUGACGGUGAGGCGCGAAAGCGUGGGGAGCAAAC